CUUUCUGCACGGAGCCUUCCUGCCUCUCCUUGUUUGCAACUCAUUAAAGGCAGCCAGGUGUAUGCAGCUCACACCCACCGGCUCAGCAGCACCUCCUUCCUCUGCCUGGGAUCAUUAUCACGAGUUUGAAAGUGUCCUUGAUACAGGGAGCUUUCUCAGGGCCCAAAAGAGUGGUUCAUACUGUGCUGUCGAGAGAUGCCUGCAGUGGUCUCCACUAACACUCAUCCACACCAUUUGCCCUCCAAGAGGAAAACUGUAUCACAUCUGUUACACCUAUUGCAAAGCAGAGCAGAUUCUGUGCAAGGCUCUGUUUAAUGGGUUACACAUGGCAGCCUCACUGGCUUUGUAUGUUGGAGGGGAUUCUACUCCUCUGCUCUGCUUUGAUCAGACCCUACUUGUGGUGCUGGGUCCAGCUCUGGAGUCCUCAGCACAGGAGAGACCUGUUGGAGGGAAGCCAGAGGAGGACGCAGAAACAAUUAGACAACAGAAAUCCCUCUGCUGUGUGGACAGGCUGGAAGAGUUGGGGUUGUUCAGCCUGCAGAGGAGAAGCUGCAGUCAGAGGGAAGAAAUGUGUCUAAAGGUACCUGAUUUUGCUGAAUCAGAUUCGGAGUUUCCCUCUGCAGUAACACACUGCAGUUGUCCUCUCCAUCACUGAUCCCUGCACAUGUGAUGUGUUCCACUUCCCCCACCCAUCGGAAGAAGCUAAUGGGAACCAGACCUUAAUGGAGGGCAGUGGAAGUCAUACACAGAAACCUCUGGACACUGGAACCAAGGGAUUUAAAACCACUUCUACUCCUGGCAGUCCCUGUUUGUACGAGAAGUAAAAGUGCCUCCAUGCUCCUUGCAGCAAGCUUCCUCCAGGCUGGCUCUGGUCUUGGAUGACAGUGUCUUUCUAAAAGCAUUUGGAGUGCAACUGAAUGUGAGAGACAUGUAACUUCCCUGCAUAUCCCAGCAACAUUUGUGUCUGGAGAUGGAGAGAUAGAAGGUACUUGCUUCAACUGCAUCUGGUGUUGGAACAACCUCUCCUGCCUAGCAGUGUUCCAAGAAGCUUUGUAAACUCCAAAAGACUGAAAUGACUACAUGAAGUUUGGGUGAAUGUGAGGCUUAGUAAAUGUUGUGUCUUUUCCUGUGUUUGUGGAAUGAUAAAAUGGUUUGGAUUGGAAGGACCUUUAAAGGUCAUUUAAUCCACCACACCACAGGAUGGGGCAUCUCCCACCUCUCUGGUGCCUCACCACCUUCAGUGUAAAAAAAUGCUUCUUUCUGUCUAGUCUUAGUGUCCCUUCUUUUAGUUUAAAGCCAUCACUCCUUGUCCUGUUGCAGCAGGCCCUGCUCAGAAGUCCCUCACUGUCUUGUUGACCCUUUUAGAUAGUGAAAAGCCACCAGAUAUGUCCACAAGCUUCAUUUCUCCAGGCUGACCCUAGGAUUUCUGUAGUAGAGUGGCAGAGUAGUUUAAGCAGGAUUGAACUGGUGAGAUUUCACUCUUGGUUUUCAACCAAUACUCACAAUCAAGGGUAUUUGCAUGCACA